rnacentral:misc_RNA from 1 species
GGGCUCUCGACAACUCUAGCAGAUUCACUACAAAAUCCCUUUACAGAUUUAGGACCGAUGGUGGUGUCAAAUCUCCUGUUUACAAAAAAAUUUGGUAUUGCAAGGUGCCGUUGAAGAUCAAGAUUUUUUUAUGGCAAAUUUACAAUGGGAAAAUCCAAGCGGCCGCAGUGCUAGAAAAAAAAGGGUGGAAGGGUAGUACGCUGUGCUCUCUGUGUGGGGACAAAGAGACAGUUGAUCACAUCUUUAUUCACUGUGUCCUCUCGAAACUUGUGUGGGGAAGAUUGAAAAAUUUUGCUGGUUGGGAU